rnacentral:rRNA from 1 species
GUAGGGAAUCUUCCACAAUGGACGAAAGUCUGAUGGAGCAACGCCGCGUGAACGAUGAAGGCCUUCGGGUCGUAAAGUUCUGUUGUAAGGGAAGAACAAGUGCCGCAGGCAAUGGCGGCACCUUGACGGUACCUUGCGAGAAAGCCACGGCUAACUACGUGCCAGCAGCCGCGGUAAUACGUAGGUGGCAAGCGUUGUCCGGAAUUAUUGGGCGUAAAGCGCGCGCAGGCGGCCUCUUAAGUCUGAUGUGAAAGCCCCCGGCUCAACCGGGGAGGGCCAUUGGAAACUGGGAGGCUUGAGUAUAGGAGAGAAGAGUGGAAUUCCACGUGUAGCGGUGAAAUGCGUAGAGAUGUGGAGGAACACCAGUGGCGAAGGCGACUCUUUGGCCUAUAACUGACGCUGAGGCGCGAAAGCGUGGGGAGCAAACAGGAUUAGAAACCCCAGUAGUCC